AAUGAACGUUGGCGGCGUGGAUUAGGCAUGCAAGUCGGACGGGCCGCAAGGCCAGUGGCGGAAGGGUGAGUAAGGCGAAGGUAACCAACCCCGCGGACGGGCAUAGCCGGGGGAAACCCCGGGUAAUUCCCGGCGACGCAAGAUAUCGGCAUCGAUGUCUUGCCAAAGAUUCAUCGCCGCGGGACGGGCCUUCGUGGUAUUAGCUUGUUGGUGGGGUGACGGCCCACCAAGGCCGCGAUGCCUACCGGGCGUGCGAGCGUGGCCCGGCACACUGGGACUGAGACACUGCCCAGACUCCUACGGGAGGCUGCAGUCGAGAAUCUUCGGCAAUGGGCGCAAGCCUGACCGAGCGACGCCGCGUGGAGGACGAAGGCCUUCGGGUUGUAAACUCCUGUCGAGGGGGAGGAAGGCGAAAGCUUGACCGAUCCCUGGAGGAAGCACGGGCUAAGUUCGUGCCAGCAGCCGCCGAGUAACAC
rnacentral:rRNA from 1 species